rnacentral:rRNA from 1 species
UACGUAGGGGGCAAGCGUUGUCCGGAAUCAUUGGGCGUAAAGCGCGCGUAGGCGGCCCGGUAAGUCCGUUGUGAAAGUCGAAGGCUCAACCUUCGAAAGCCGAUGGAUACUGCCGGGCUAGAGUACGGAAGAGGCGAGUGGAAUUCCUGGUGUAGCGGUGGAAUGCGCAGAUAUCAGGAGGAACACCAAUAGCGAAGGCAGCUCGCUGGGACGUUACUGACGCUGAGGCGCGAAAGCGUGGGGAGCAAACAGG